AUGGCCGGCGGCAACGACGCGGGCAUGGGAGCCUGCGGUGCCGACGGCCUGGAGCUUAGCCUCCGCCUUGGAAGCCCGACGACGGCCCCCGCCCCGGCGCCGGCGCCGGCACGGAGGAACCUCACGAUUGGCUACGACCGGCGCGUGCUGUGCGCCGUCGACGUGGUCGAGCUACAGGCAAUGGCAAUCAUAUCCAUGGCGAACCAGGAAACGACGGGGAAGAUCACAGACAUGGACGACGCCGGCAUCGCGCAAGGGGCUUGCCGCGCCGCUCGGGGGCAGACGAGGGCAUCUCCGGAUCAUGGCGGCAUCGUGGUGCCCACGCCGCUCGGCGAUCAGGGGGGGCUGUCGAUGAAGCGCUCGCUGCAGCGGUUCCUCGAGAAGCGCAAGGCGAGGGCCAGCACCGCGUCUCCCUACGUCGUCCACCGGCCCGCCCGGGCGCCGAGAUCUUGA
rnacentral:rRNA from 1 species